GACGAACGCUGGCGGCGUGCUUAACACAUGCAAGUCGAGCGGAGCGGCGAACGGGCGAGUAACGCGUUAGUAACUGCCCCCCUCCCUGGGAUAACAGUUGGAAACGGCUGCCAAUACCGGCUAGUGGGGGAUGACUCGCGGCCUAUCGGCUUGUUGGUGGGGUAGUGGCCUACCGCGGCGACGACGGGUAGCCGACCUGGGAGGGCGACCGGCCACAUGGGGCUAAGGUACGAGCCAGAGUGCAACGGGGGGCAGGGGUGGGAAGUAUUGCGCAGUAGGGGAGAGCCGGGUGCAGCGGCGCCGGGUGGGGAAUGUCGGCCUACGGGUUAGAAACCGCUUUCAGCGAUGACGCGGUAGUGGCAGAAGAAGCACCGGCUAACUACGUGCCAGCAGCCGCGGUAAUAC
rnacentral:rRNA from 1 species